UACCUUUACUACCACUCAAUACCAAAAAAGCUCCCAUUGUUAUUCCCUCUAAAGGUGUUCGAGAAGCUCCCACUACUAUGCAUUCUAAAGGAGUUUGAGAAGCUCCCACUGUUAUGCCUUUGAAAAGAGUUCAAGAAGCUCCUAGGACCCCCAGCAGCCCUAGUCACCCCAGCAGCUCCACAAUUGAUGCUAAUAAUGUCAUUCUGAGUAAGAUAUUGGACCUUAUGGACUGGAUGGAACAACGAAUGGAUAACGUAUCAAGUAUUGUGGAAGUACUACCAAGCCAUGUCAAUGAUGUAAUUGACAAAGAGAUGAGGACUAUCAAGAGAGCCAUAGUCAAUGAUCUUUGGAAGGUUGCAGCUUCAAAGCAUACAAUGGACCCCCAUUAUACUAGAGUUGACACUCCUCAGCCUAUCCAACAAGCAAGUGACUCCAACAAAUCCCCAGUGGCAAGAAACCAAGACCAAAAUGAACAAGAAAUGGAUUAUGAUGUUGUCAUUGCAGAUAGGUCUUAUAUCAUGUGGAAGACAUUGUUAUUUGCCAAAACUAAGAAGAAGGGAGAGGGGAUUCAAAAUGAACAAUCUGAACCUAUGGAACACAAGGCUUGCACCCUACCUGUGGAAGAGAAGGCCUAGAAGAAGUAUCAUUCCAGCAAAGGGAGGGUGGUGUGUGCAUUCGACCUAAAGACUGAGGUUGAUAAGGAGAUUUUUUAGACGGUCCAAUAUAUUUUCACUAACAGUCUUCAGAAAAAGGAAAUCUUAUUCUCCAAAGACAAAACAAAAUUGUCGAGAUCACAACUAAGCCUAUUCAGAUCUGAUAUAGAAAUUGAUGGGAAUAUUAUUACAUGUUAUGCUCAGUUGUUGACGAGCAAGGAGAGAAUUGGUGACAGAACCUACUGGUUUUUGCCCACUACAGUUUCAAUUAGUGCAGUUAUGCCCUUUAUAAUUUAAAUAUGAUAUCAAUAAUCAUAAACAUGAUCCUAGUACUUUUUAGUGAUGUUACAAAUUUGUUGCAGCAACAACAGCUUAGAAAAAUGAUGAUAAAGAAUGUUGCAAACUAUGAACAGUGGAGAGAACGUCAUUUCUCCAGCGAUCUCAAAGUUUGAGAGCAUGUAAGUAAUCUCACCUCUCCAAUUGACGCUUGAAGGGAUGUAUCAUGUCAUUUUGAAUCGUUCUACCGUAUUGGUAUAAUUUGGGAUUCUUCAAACUUUAUUAUUUUACAUUUUCAUAGAUGAUUGUUUCCAUUCUAGCCAAGGAUGGGUCAGCAGGACAUUGGUUCCUGGCUCACAUUGACAUGAAAGUUUGUCAUGUUUACAUUUUGGACUCUAUGGUAAAUCCUAUAGAUAAACAAAGAAGAACUAUAUUGACUAGGG